rnacentral:rRNA from 1 species
AAGGUUUUCGGAUCGUAAAGCUCUGUUGUAAGUCAAGAACGGGUGUGAGAGUGGAAAGUUCACACUGUGACGGUAGCUUACCAGAAAGGGACGGCUAACUACGUGCCAGCAGCCGCGGUAAUACGUAGGUCCCGAGCGUUGUCCGGAUUUAUUGGGCGUAAAGCGAGCGCAGGCGGUUUGAUAAGUCUGAAGUUAAAGGCUGUGGCUCAACCAUAGUUCGCUUUGGAAACUGUCAAACUUGAGUGCAGAAGGGGAGAGUGGAAUUCCAUGUGUAGCGGUGAAAUGCGUAGAUAUAUGGAGGAACACCGGUGGCGAAAGCGGCUCUCUGGUCUGUAACUGACGCUGAGGCUCGAAAGCGUGGGGAGCGAACAGGAUUAGAUACCCUGGUAGUCCACGCCGUAAACGAUGAGUGCUAGGUGUUGGAUCCUUUCCGGGAUUCAGUGCCGCAGCUAACGCAUUAAGCACUCCGCCUGGGGAGUACGACCGCAAGGUUGAAACUCAAAGGAAUUGACGGGGGCCCGCACAAGCG